rnacentral:rRNA from 1 species
UACGUAGGGGGCUAGCGUUGUCCGGAAUCAUUGGGCGUAAAGAGCGUGUAGGCGGCCCGGUAAGUCCGCUGUGAAAGUCGGGGGCUCAACCCUCGAAUGCCGGUGGAUACUGUCGGGCUAGAGUGCGGAAGAGGCGAGUGGAAUUCCUGGUGUAGCGGUGAAAUGCGCAGAUAUCAGGAGGAACACCGAUUGCGAAGGCAGCUCGCUGGGACGUCACUGACGCUGAGACGCGAAAGCGUGGGGAGCGAUCCGG